rnacentral:rRNA from 1 species
GUCUAUAGCCAUGUAACACUUAACAAGCCUGAUCUUGUCUGAUCUCAGCAGCUAAGCAGGGUUGAGCAUGGAUGAGAGACCACCUAGGAAGACCAGGUGCUGUAGGCA